rnacentral:rRNA from 1 species
GACGAACGCUGGCGGCGUGCUUAACACAUGCAAGUCGAACGGAAAGGCCCUGCUUUUGUGGGGUGCUCGAGUGGCGAACGGGUGAGUAACACGUGAGUAACCUGCCCUUGACUUUGGGAUAACUUCAGGAAACUGGGGCUAAUACCGGAUAGGAGCUCCUGCUGCAUGGUGGGGGUUGGAAAGUUUCGGCGGUUGGGGAUGGACUCGCGGCUUAUCAGCUUGUUGGUGGGGUAGUGGCUUACCAAGGCUUUGACGGGUAGCCGGCCUGAGAGGGUGAGCGGCCACAUUGGGACUGAGAUACGGCCCAGACUCCUACGGGAGGCAGCAGCGGGGAAUAUUGCACAAUGGGCGGAAGCCUGAUGCAGCAACGCCGCGUGCGGGAUGACGGCCUUCGGGUUGUAAACCGCUUUCGCCUGUGACGAAGCGUGAGUGACGGUAAUGGGUAAAGAAGCACCGGCUAACUACGUG